rnacentral:rRNA from 1 species
CACGUAGGGCGCAAGCGUUGUCCGGAAUUAUUGGGCGUAAAGGGCUCGUAGGCGGUUUGUCGCGUCGGGAGUGAAAACAUCGGGCUUAACUCGAUGCUUGCUUUCGAUACGGGCAGACUUGAGGUAUGCAGGGGAGAAUGGAAUUCCUGGUGUAGCGGUGAAAUGCGCAGAUAUCAGGAGGAACACCGGUGGCGAAGGCGGGUCUCUGGGCCGAUACUGACGCUGAGGAGCGAAAGCGUGGGGAGCGAACAGG